rnacentral:tRNA from 1 species
GGGUUGCUAGCUCAGUUGGUAGAGCAGCUGAUUCUUAAUCAGCGGGUCACAGGUUCGAUCCCUGUGCAGCCCA